UACACACCGCCCGUCGCACCAUGGGAGUGGGUUUCACCAGAAGUAGGUGCCUAACCGCAAGGAGGGCGCUUACCACGGUGAGAUUCAUGACUGGGGUG
rnacentral:rRNA from 1 species